rnacentral:rRNA from 1 species
CCUACGGGUGGCAGCAGUGGGGAAUAUUGGACAAUGGGCGAAAGCCUGAUCCAGCCAUGCCGCGUGUGUGAAGAAGGCCUUCGGGUUGUAAAGCACUUUCAGUGGGGAAGAAAGCCUUGGGGCUAAUACCCUCGAGGAAGGACAUCACCCACAGAAGAAGCACCGGCUAACUCCGUGGCCAGCAGCCGCGGUAAUACGGAGGGUGCGAGCGUUAAUCGGAAUUACUGGGCGUAAAGCGCGCGUAGGCGGUCUGAUAAGCCGGUUGUGAAAGCCCCGGGCUCAACCUGGGAACGGCAUCCGGAACUGUCAGGCUAGAGUGCAGGAGAGGAAGGUAGAAUUCCCGGUGUAGCGGUGAAAUGCGUAGAGAUCGGGAGGAAUACCAGUGGCGAAGGCGGCCUUCUGGACUGACACUGACGCUGAGGUGCGAAAGCGUGGGUAGCAAACAGGAUUAGAUACCCCAGUAGUC